GACGAACGCUGGCGGCGUGCCUAAUACAUGCAAGUAGAACGCUGAAGGAGGAGCUUGCUUCUCUGGAUGAGUUGCGAACGGGUGAGUAACGCGUAGGUAACCUGCCUGGUAGCGGGGGAUAACUAUUGGAAACGAUAGCUAAUACCGCAUAAGAGUAGAUGUUGCAUGACAUUUGCUUAAAAGGUGCAAUUGCAUCACUACCAGAUGGACCUGCGUUGUAUUAGCUAGUUGGUGAGGUAACGGCUCACCAAGGCAACGAUACAUAGCCGACCUGAGAGGGUGAUCGGCCACACUGGGACUGAGACACGGCCCAGACUCCUACGGGAGGCAGCAGUAGGGAAUCUUCGGCAAUGGACGGAAGUCUGACCGAGCAACGCCGCGUGAGUGAAGAAGGUUUUCGGAUCGUAAAGCUCUGUUGUAAGAGAAGAACGAGUGUGAGAGUGGAAAGUUCACACUGUGA
rnacentral:rRNA from 1 species